GAUCAUUCAAUCGGUAGCAGUGACGGGCGGUGUGUACAAAGGGCAGGGACGUAGUCAAUGCGAGCUGAUGACUCGCGCUUACUAGGAAUUCCUCGUUGAAGACUAACAAUUGCAAUGAUCUAUCCCCAUCACGAUGAAAUUUCAAAGAUUACCCGGGCCUGUCGGCCAAGGCUAUAAACUCGUUGAAUACAUCAGUGUAAAGGGCAGGGACGUAGUCAAUGCGAGCUGAUGACUCGCGCUUACUAGGAAUUCCUCGUUGAAGACCAACAAUUGCAAUGAUGUUUCCCCAUUAUGAUGAUAUUUCAAUGAUUACCAGGGCCUGUCGGCCAAGGCUAUGAACUCGUUGAAUAUAUCAGUGUAGCGCGCAUGCGGCCCAGAACAUCUAAG
rnacentral:lncRNA from 1 species